UCACGUCUGUGCGUGAUCGUGCUCAAAGUUUUCAGGUACUCUGGCCUUUCAAUGACGUGAACUCUUCGUCUUUUAGGAGUCAGCCCUUUGGAGUUUCUUCUUCAGACAUGUGCAGGAUGAAGAGUUCAGAGGACACAGCUGGAGAGAAGGGGAAGACUAGCACCAUAAGUAACAAUUCAUGUAUCCUGUUUCAGGGGUGGAUUUAGUGAUUUGGGUGCCCCGGACAAACUCAGGCACAGGGCCUCCCUCAGAAUGAGAAGACAUGGAAGGACAAGCUCAAACCUCACCAGCUGGCUGUCAACCCAAAAAUAUACCUUUGAUGACUCCCCCUGUCAAGACCUGCUCACAGGAGAGCCUGAAACUGUCACAGUAGAGCUGCAGUCCUGAAUGUGUUUUACCAUCGGAAUUUUACUGUAGUUAAGACACACACUUAUUCUGAGGAUGCACCGGCAGAAUAACAAAGGAAAACACACCUCUCCUUUGGCACUGGUGUCCUGUACAAAGAAAAACAAUGAGUGAGCCCCGAUAGCACUGGCAUGAAACUCCAGAAAGAUGUUCUUUGCUUGGUGUGGAGUACGAUCUACCUUCACAAGAUGAUGCUGCUGCUCAUCGUGCUUUCUAUGGCAGUGGUAAUGAAGUUCCCCAUCUAGGGAUUACAUUGCAUAAAUAUCUGAAAUGACAAAAUUCAA